rnacentral:lncRNA from 1 species
UGCUGCUUCCCUGACAUGAUCAGCUUCUAAAUUGUCCCCUAAGAAAAGAGAUGUAUCUAAAAGAGAAGGCAAACAGAGCAGGAGGGAGUCACAUCAGCCUGUCAGAAAAGUGCCAUGGGCAGCAUCCAGUCCUGGCAGGUGAGAAGGCUGGGAGGAAGACAGCAGCAGCAGAAAUUUACGAUAUCAAAGCCAGUAAGAGCAGUUCUUCUGGAGAAACACACGUAAGCCACUCUAGUUUAACCCAGAUUGUCUGGCAUUGUAUUGAUUCAGCACAAAAAGAAAUGCACAACAGGAAUUGGGAAGAAAUAAAAACCAGGAAUAGGAGCA